AGAGUUUGAUCCUGGCUCAGGGUGAACGCUAGCGGCAGGCUUAACACAUGCAAGUCGAGGGGUAUAGGUUUUCGGACCUAGAGACCGGCGCACGGGUGCGUAACGCGUAUGCAAUCUACCUUUUACAGAGGGAUAGCCCAGAGAAAUUUGGAUUAAUACCUCAUAGUAUUAUUGAAUGGCAUCAUUUAAUAAUUAAAGUUCCAACGGUAAAAGAUGAGCAUGCGUCCCAUUAGCUAGAUGGUAAGGUAACGGCUUACCAUGGCGACGAUGGGUAGGGGUCCUGAGAGGGAGAUCCCCCACACUGGUACUGAGACACGGACCAGACUCCUACGGGAGGCAGCAGUGAGGAAUAUUGGUCAAUGGGCGCAAGCCUGAACCAGCCAUGCCGCGUGCAGGAUGACGGUCCUAUGGAUUGUAAACUGCUUUUGUACAGGAAGAAACACUGGAACGUGUUCCAGCUUGACGGUACUGUAAGAAUAAGGAUCGGCUAACUCCGUGCCAGCAGCCGCGGUAAUACGGAGGAUCCAAGCGUUAUCCGGAAUCAUUGGGUUUAAAGGGUCCGUAGGCGGUUUUGUAAGUCAGUGGUGAAAGCCCAUCGCUCAACGGUGGAACGGCCAUUGAUACUGCAAGACUUGAAUUACUAGGAAGUAACUAGAAUAUGUAGUGUAGCGGUGAAAUGCUUAGAUAUUACAUGGAAUACCAAUUGCGAAGGCAGGUUACUACUAGUGGAUUGACGCUGAUGGACGAAAGCGUGGGGAGCGAACAGGAUUAGAUACCCUGGUAGUCCACGCCGUAAACGAUGGAUACUAGCUGUUCGAGAGCAAUCUUGAGUGGCUAAGCGAAAGUGAUAGUAUCCCACCUGGGGAGUACGAACGCAAGUUUGAAACUCAAAGGAAUUGACGGGGCCCGCACAAGCGGUGGGAGCAUGGUGGUUUAAUUCGAUGAUACGCGAGGAACCU
rnacentral:rRNA from 1 species